ACGCACGCUGGCGGCGUGCUUAACACCUGCCAGUCGAACGGAAAGGCCCUGCUUUUGUGGGGUGCUCGCGUGGCGAACGGGUGAGUAACACGUGAGUAACCUGCCCUUGACUUUGGGAUAACUUCAGGAAACUGGGGCUAAUACCGGAUAGGAGCUCCUGCUGCAUGGUGGGGGUUGGAAAGUUUCGGCGGUUGGGGAUGGACUCGCGGCUUAUCAGCUUGUUGGUGGGGUAGUGGCUUACCAAGGCUUUGACGGGUAGCCGGCCUGAGAGGGUGACCGGCCACAUUGGGACUGAGAUACGGCCCAGACUCCUACGGGAGGCAGCAGUGGGGAAUAUUGCACAAUGGGCGGAAGCCUGAUGCAGCAACGCCGCGUGCGGGAUGACGGCCUUCGGGUUGUAAACCGCUUUCGCCUGUGACGAAGCGUGAGUGACGGUAAUGGGUAAAGAAGCACCGGCUAACUACGUG
rnacentral:rRNA from 1 species